rnacentral:rRNA from 1 species
GCAGCUGCGGUAAUUCCAGCUCCAAUAGCGUAUAUUAAAGUUGUUGCAGUUAAAAAGCUCGUAGUUGGAUUUCUGCGAGGGUGCCAAUGACCGCCGACGCGCGUGCGCAGCGGCGCCCUCGCAUCCUUCUGUUACCACCUCUCGGCAUUCACUUGCCGGUGGUCGGCUCAGAGAAUUUACCUUGAGAAAAUUAGAGUGUUUCAGGCAGGCUAGGCCGGAAUACAUUAGCAUGGAAUAAUGGAAUAGGACUACGGUCUCGUUGUUGGUUUGAGGGACUGCAGUAAUGAUUAAUAGGGAUAGUUGGGGGCAUUAGUAUUUAAUUGUCAGAGGUGAAAUUCUCAGAUUUGUUAAAGACUAACUUAUGCGAAAGCAUUUGCCAAGGAUGUUUUCAUUGAUCAAGAACGAAAGU